GUAUGGUAAUGCAUUUAAGGGAAGGGCCUUCUUGGUGGGCCUCUUAUAAUGUACCCAUGCCAGAGUAAGCUGCAGCCUCAGGUCAUUGCCCUGCCUCUUUACUCAUGGGCUAUGAGCACUGAAGGGGGUUGCACAGUA
rnacentral:snoRNA from 1 species